UACGAAGGGGGCUAGCGUUGCUCGGAAUCACUGGGCGUAAAGCGCACGUAGGCGGCUUUCUAAGUCAGGGGUGAAAUCCUGGAGCUCAACUCCAGCACUGCCUUUGAUACUGGAGAGCUUGAGUCCGGGAGAGGUGAGUGGAACUCCGAGUGUAGAGGUGAAAUUCGUAGAUAUUCGGAAGAGCACCAGUGGCGAAGGCGGCUCACUGGCCCGGUACUGACGCUGAUGUGCGAAAGCGUGGGGAGCAAACAGG
rnacentral:rRNA from 1 species